AUGUAAUGCAUGUAGUGCUUUUUACUUUGUUUUAGUCUAUAAGUUGGGACCUAUUCAAACUAUUACAUUGUUGCUCCUCUGUCACCUAUGGUGACUGUUCAUUUUACUUCCCUCCUGGAUAUGGAUAGGUCCUGAUAGCCUAGGACAGGAGUAGGCAACCUUUUAGCAGCACUGUGCCGAUAUAGGAUUGUGAUGUCCCGUAGCGUGUCGAUCCUAUUUUUUUAAAUUGAGGUGUGUAUGCUGCCGUAUUCUGCUUGUGUUAUUUUUACUGUAAUUGCUUUCUAUCUUUAUAUUUGUGCGUAUAUGAGCUAUUAUAUUGUAUAUGUCCAUUAGUAGUUUGUGGUAUCAUGUA